rnacentral:lncRNA from 1 species
GAGUAAGCAGCAUAUAGUCUUUGUUGGGGCUUCUUUAAGUGUUUUGAUUGAUUAAAAGUUUUAGGGCUUUCAGGAGUGGAUUUCCUAGUUAAGGAUUGAAUAAGCAUCUAAUGAACAAUCCAUCCAUAUCUAGUGGGAAUGUGUCUCAUAGGUGCAUAAUGGGCAAAUUUUAAAUUAGCCAUUUUGACUUCUGAUGAUAUGAUAUCUUAAUUCAGUAAAUCUUUAUAUUUAAAUUUGUUUCAGUCAUGCCUCUUUGUAGAACCUUUUCUAGAUAAUUAUUUGAUCAUUUCUUAAGAACUUUAGCGGCCGUAUUACUUCCAAAUUCAACUAUUGCAUCAUAUUUUCUUCAUUUUGGAUUUUACAGGUGAAUGAUUGUAAGUUCUUCUUCCGCUUAUUUUGAUCAUUUAUUGAGGAUUUAUUUCCAUAUAAUUCUAGAGCUAAUGAGAUUUUCUCAUAAAUACUGUUUCAUCUGAUAUGGAUCUCAUUUGUUGGUGCUCAAAGUUCCCGAAUAACUAAGCAUUGUUCCCAAAUUUGUAUGUUUCACAUAUGCAUAUCAGUUAUUGGAUCUUUUUUUAUCUUUUUCUUUUUAAUCUUUUUGUUCUUCGUUUUAUCUUUCUUGUACAAUUUUUUUGUUUUUAAGAGUAAAUUAUGCUGACCCCUCUCGAGGUUUGUGGUAAUGACGUGAUCCACCCAACAUUUCGAAAAUAGACACAGAACACUCGAGUCAAACAUAAAAAUUAAAAAUUUAAAAAAUAAAAAAAUAUCAAAAUAAAAAAUAUAAGAUAUUUUAAGAUUCAAAUCGGUUAGAUAGUGAUGAUAUCAAUAAGAUCAAUAAUUUAUUUAACAGAAAGAUAUUAGUAGAGGAUUACGUGUCAUGUAUGUAGCAAAAGUUAAAUAGUAGAAUAUAUAUUUCUAAAAUAUUGGGUGGAGAAUCUGUAAUUAUCUCAAAUUUCGAGAGAGGUUAUUAUAAUUUACUCUUUCUUUAAUAAUGGGAGUGUUUAAUGUUUUUUUUGUAUUUUCAAAAAAAAAAUUCAUGAAUUUAGAGUAUUGAGGCUCUCAUGGAUAUAUUGAUAUCUUGUUAUUUUGAACCAAAAGGGGGAAUACUAAGUAUAAAUUACUGACAUGAAACUUCAAUUACCCAUUUUUAAUUCAGACCUUGAAUAAAUCAACUAUUCUGGUCUAACAUCUCAAUUCAAUUUAUAAACCACACCAAGAGCAUGAUGUUGAAGAUUGAUGAAUUUGUUCUCUUAUUGGACGAGUCUCUUCUUUAUUUUAUGUCUAUUGUUUUUUGUGGGAUUGUUAGUUUUGAGUGGGUUUUCUGUGGUAGUGACUUACCUCUUAUCAUGCUGCAGCAGACUCUGCCAUUGUGUGACUUCUACUGUUAGUUCUGAGCCGGAUUUAUGUGGGAGAACUUGCUGAAGCUUCGG